rnacentral:rRNA from 1 species
ACAAGCGGUGAGUGCUUUGGGGUGGGGUGACUGCGUACCUUUUGUAUAAUGGGUCAGCGACUUAUAUUCUGUAGCAAGGUUAACCGCAUAGGGGAGCCGUAGGGAAACCGAGUCUUAACCGGGCGUUAAGUUGCAGGGUAUAGACCCGAAACCCGGUGAUCUAGCCAUGGGCAGGUUGAAGGUUGGGUAACACUAACUGGAGGACCGAACCGACUAAUGUUGAAAAAUUAGCGGAUGACCUGUGGCUGGGGGUGAAAGGCCAAUCAAACCGGGAGAUAGCUGGUUCUCCCCGAAAGCUAUUUAGGUAGCGCCUCGUGAAUUCAUCUCCGGGGGUAGAGCACUGUUUCGGCUAGGGGGCCAUCCCGGCUUACCAACCCGAUGCAAACUGCGAAUACCGGAGAAUGUUAUCACGGGAGACACACGGCGGGUGCUAACGUCCGUCGUGAAGAGGGAAACAACCCAGACCGCCAGCUAAGGUCCCAAAGUCAUGGUUAAGUGGGAAACGAUGUGGGAAGGCCCAGACAGCCAGGAUGUUGGCUUAGAAGCAGCCAUCAUUUAAAGAAAGCGUAAUAGCUCACUGGUCGAGUCGGCCUGCGCGGAAGAUGUAACGGGGCUAAACCAUGCACCGAAGCUGCGGCAGCGAACGUAUCACUUAAAGCGAUUCAGCGGGUUACGA